UACGUAGGGCGCGAGCGUUGUCCGGAAUCAUUGGGCGUAAAGAGCUCGUAGGCGGCCUGUCGCGUCUGCUGUGAAAUCCCGGGGCUUAACCCCGGGCGUGCAGUGGAUACGGGCUGGCUGGAGGCAGGCAGGGGAGAACGGAAUUCCCGGUGUAGUGGUGAAAUGCGUAGAUAUCGGGAGGAACACCAGUGGCGAAGGCGAGCUACCUGGCCUGUUCUUGACGCUGAGGCGCGAAAGCUAGGGGAGCAAACGGG
rnacentral:rRNA from 1 species